rnacentral:rRNA from 1 species
UACGUAGGGGGCAAGCGUUGUCCGGAUUUAUUGGGCGUAAAGGAGCGUGUAGGCGGCCAUACAGGUCAGCUGUGAAAACUCGAGGCUCAACCUCGAGACGUCGGUUGAAACCGUAUGGCUAGAGUCCGGAAGAGGAGAGUGGAAUUCCCGGUGUAGCGGUGAAAUGCGCAGAUAUCGGGAAGAACACCCGUGGCGAAGGCGGCUCUCUGGGACGUACUGACGCUGAGACGCGAAAGCGUGGGGAGCGAACAGG